UUUAAUUGAAACCAAAAAGAGGUAAAUUAUUGUUAAUAAUUUUAUUGAAACAUAUUCCUAUUAAAUC
rnacentral:tRNA from 1 species